rnacentral:rRNA from 1 species
UACGGGGGGGGCAAGCGUUGUUCGGAAUUACUGGGCGUAAAGGGCGCGUAGGCGGCCUGCUAAGUCGGACGUGAAAUCCCUCGGCUCAACCGGGGAACUGCGUCCGAUACUGGUGGGCUCGAAUCCGGGAGAGGGAUGUGGAAUUCCAGGUGUAGCGGUGAAAUGCGUAGAUAUCUGGAGGAACACCGGUGGCGAAGGCGGCAUCCUGGACCGGCAUUGACACUGAGGCGCGAAAGCCAGGGGAGCAAACGGG